rnacentral:rRNA from 1 species
CCUAGGGGAGGCAGCAGUGAGGAAUAUUGGUCAAUGGGCGGGAGCCUGAACCAGCCAAGCCGCGUGAAGGAAGAAGGCGCCAGGCGUCGUAAACUUCUUUUGUCGGGGAACAAAGGGCGCCACGCGUGGCGUUGUGAGUGUACCCGAAGAAAAAGCAUCGGCUAACUCCGUGCCAGCAGCCGCGGUAAUACGUAGGGAGCAAGCGUUAUCCGGAUUUACUGGGUGUAAAGGGCGUGUAGGCGGGCAUGCAAGCCAGAAGUGAAAUCUGGGGGCUUAACCCCCAAACUGCUUUUGGAACUGCGUGUCUUGAGUGAUGGAGAGGCAGGCGGAAUUCCCAGUGUAGCGGUGAAAUGCGUAGAUAUUGGGAGGAACACCAGUGGCGAAGGCGGCCUGCUGGACAUUAACUGACGCUGAGGCGCGAAAGCGUGGGGAGCAAACAGGAUUAGAUACCCUAGUAGUC